AGAGUUUGAUCCUGGCUCAGGAUGAACGCUGGCCUGCUUAACACAUGCAAGUCGAACGGAGUAGAAAUACUUAGUGGCGGACGGGUGAGUAACGCGUGAGAAUCUGCCUUCAGGACGGAGACAACAGUUGGAACGACUGCUAAGCCCGAUGAACCGAAAGGGAAAAUAUUUAUAGCCUGAAGAUGAGCUCGCGUCCGAUUAGCUAGUUGGCGGAGUAAAAGCCCACCAAGGCGACGAUCGGUAGCUGGUCUGAGAGGACGAUCAGCCACACUGGGACUGAGACACGGCCCAGACUCCUACGGGAGGCAGCAGUGGGGAAUUUUCCGCAAUGGGCGAAGCCUGACGGAGCAAGACCGCGUGGGGGAAGAAGGCUCUUGGGUUGUAAACCCCUUUUCUCUGGGAAGAAAGUUGUGAAAGCAACCUGACGGUACCAGAGGAAUCAGCAUCGGCUACUCCGUGCCAGCAGCCGCGGUAAGACGGAGGAUGCAAGCGUUAUCCGGAAUGAUUGGGCGUAAAGCGUCCGCAGGUGGCAGUUCAAGUCUGCUGUCAAAGACCGGGGCUUAACUUCGGAAAGGCAGUGGAAACUGAACAGCUAGAGUAUGGUAGGGGCAGAGGGAAUUCCUGGUGUAGCGGUGAAAUGCGUAGAGAUCAGGAAGAACAUCGGUGGCGGAGGNNCUCUGCUGGACCAUAACUGACACUCAGGGACGAAAGCUAGGGGAGCGAAUGGGAUUAGAUACCCUAGUAGUCC
rnacentral:rRNA from 1 species